UGGGGAAUAUUGGACAAUGGGCGCAAGCCUGCUCCAGCCAUGCCGCGUGAGUGAUGAAGGCCUUAGGGUUGUAAAGCUCUUUUGUCCGGGAAGAUAAUGACUGUACCGGAAGAAUAAGCCCGGGCUAACUUCGUGCCAGCAGCCGCGGUAAUACGAAGGGGGCUAGCGUUGCUCGGAAUCACUGGGCGUAAAGGGCGCGUAGGCGGACUCGUAAGUCGGGGGUGAAAGCCCAGGGCUCAACCCUGGAAUUGCCUUCGAUACUGGGAGUCUUGAGUCCUGGAGAGGGUGGCGGAAUUCCGGGUGUAGGAGUGAAAUCCGUAGAUAUCCGGAGGAACACCUGUGGCGAAGGCGGCCACCUGGACAGGUACUGACGCUGAGGCGCGAAAGCGUGGGGAGCAAACA
rnacentral:rRNA from 1 species